CAACAUUUUGAGCAACAUGUGGCCCAGGAAAGAAGAUUUGAUUGGAUUCCGCCAAAAUGCACUUUUUUCCACUCCCAAACCCGGGGAUUUCCCGCAGACGACGGAGAUAGAAGUCACGGACGGUUCACGACAUGAGAGCAAGACACAUACUUCUUAAAAUUGAAACAAGACAGAAAAAAGCCAAGGUCCAUCACAGCAAUCUGCCCUUCACGUUGUCGCUUAGAAGAAAGGAGGUUGUGAUGGACAAGCCUCCUGUGAGCCAGAUGAUAAAGCAUUGGCCAGCACUCUUUGUUGAAAAUCAGGUCUCCCAGGAAUUCAGCAGAGUGGUAGGGAAAAACCUGAAACAGGAAUUCUGAGUCUCUGGAUCGUCUUUGCCCUAAACUUGUUGAAAUCAUCAGGUCAAAGAGAGGUCUAAAGGGACAACUUCUGGAUGGUCUGUUGCGCCAAACAAAGACAUCGGACACUGCUGACAUCAGAUGCCUUGUCCUGAGAGGGCUUCCAAUACUCUUUGAUGACAACUCAGCUGAUUUCUUCAAGACUUGCUUUGUCACUAAUGACGAGGGCGUAUACAGACACAUUGGAACAGGAAUCUUCUGCUUCACUGAGGAAGAUAUUGCACCGCAUCCUCUGACUCCAUCUUCUUGGAGGGGACUCCAAGUGUGUGUGAGAGUGAGAGUGACUGUGGGAGACGGGGAUAGAGCAAUUGUAUUGUGUACCUAGCUGUUUGCAGGCUGGUAUUGUGGGGAUGCUAAAAAGGAAAGUAUUAACACUGACAAAUCAGCUGUAAGGUGUGAAUGUGAGUGAGUGUGUCUGAGUGAAUGUGAGUGAGAUGGGGAGAGAGCAAUUGUAUUGUGUACCCAGGUGUUUGCAGGGUGGUAUAUUAUGGUGGAUGUUAAUGUUUAUAAUAAUACCUCAGUGUUUGUGUUUGUGUGUACACCUAUCCAGUGUUUGAGAGUGGUACUUUUUGACUGCCUUGUCAAUGCCCAUGUUCAUUUUUUGCAUAAAGGUGCAUUUUGUGUGUGUGUGUGUGUGUGGGGUCUGGCCCAUUUAGCCUUUUGCCACUUUGGGAAACGUCUAGAU